rnacentral:rRNA from 1 species
GUGGCUCCAGUCUACCCUCGAGGGUAGAUCUCCCACCCUUGUGUAUCAUUACAGAAUGUUGCUUUGGCGGGCCGCGCCCCGUGCGCCUAGAUUCGCGUCUAGCGUGUCCGCCAGAGGACCCCUAAACUCUGAAUGUUAGUGUGGUCUGAGUACUAUGAAAUAGUUAAAACUUUCAACAACGGAUCUCUUGGUUCUGGCAUCAAUGAAGAACGCAGCGAAAUGCGAUAAGUAAUGUGAAUUGCAGAAUUCAAUGAAUCAUCGAAUCUUUGAACGCACAUUGCGCCCCUUGGUAUUCCGGGGGGCAUGCCUGUUCGAGCGUCAUUUAUACCAAAAUCUAGCCUGGCUAGGUGUUGGGCUCCGCCGCCGGGCGGGCCUUAAAACCAGUGGCGGUGCUCUCAAGCUCUACGCGUAAUAAUCUUCUCGCUACAGGGUCUUGGGAGAUGCUGGCCAGCAACCCCAAAUUUUUCUAGGUUGACCUCGGAUCAGGUAGGGAUACCCGCUGAACUUAAGCAUAUCAUAGCCGGAAGAAAC